UUGUAAACCUCUUUUAGCAGGGAAGAACCGCAAGUGACGGUACCUGCAGAAAAAGCACCGGCUAACUACGUGCCAGCAGCCGCGGUAAUACGUAGGGUGCAAGCGUUGUCCGGAAUUAUUGGGCGUAAAGAGCUCGUAGGCGGUUUGUCGCGUCUGCUGUGAAAAUCCGAGGCUCAACCUCGGACCUGCAGUGGGUACGGGCAAACUAGAGUGCGGUAGGGGAGAUUGGAAUUCCCGGUGUAGCGGUGGAAUGCGCAGAUAUCAGGAGGAACACCAAUGGCGAAGGCAGAUCUCUGGGCCGUAACUGACGCUGAGGAGCGAAAGCGUGGAGAGCGAACAGGAUUAGAUACCCUGGUAGUCCACGCCGUAAACGGUGGGAACUAGAUGUGGGGUCCGUUCCACGGAUUCCGUGUCGCAGCUAACGCAUUAAGUUCCCCGCCUGGGGAGUACGGCCGCAAGGCUAAAACUCAAAGGAAUUGACGGGGGCCCGCACAAGCGGCGGAGCAUGCGGAUUAAUUCGAUGCAACGCGAAGAACCUUACCAAGGCUUGACAUAUAGAGGAAAGGUGCAGAAAUGUACCCCCCGCAAGGUCUCUAUACAGGUGGUGCAUGGUUGUCGUCAGCUCGUGUCGUGAGAUGUU
rnacentral:rRNA from 1 species